rnacentral:rRNA from 1 species
CAGUAGCCACGGUAAUACGAAGGGUGCAAGCGUUAAUCGGAAUUACUGGGCGUAAAGCGUGCGUAGGCGGUUUGUUAAGUCUGUUGUGAAGUCCCCGGGCUCAACCUGGGAAUGGCAAUGGAUACUGGCAAGCUAGAGUGUGUCAGAGGAUGGUGGAAUUCCCGGUGUAGCGGUGAAAUGCGUAGAGAUCGGGAGGAACAUCAGUGGCGAAGGCGGCCAUCUGGGACAACACUGACGCUGAGGCACGAAAGCGUGGGGAGCAAACAGGAUUAGAUACCCCAGUAGUCCCUGUCUCUUAUAA